ACUCAAAGGAAUUGACGGGGGCUCACACAAGCGGUGGAGUAUGUGGCUUAAUUCGAGGCUACGCGCAAAACCUUAUCCUGGGCUUGACAUGCACGGAUUAGCCGGCGGAAACGUCGGUGAGGCCGCAAGGUACAACGUGCACAGGUGCUGCAUGGCUGUCGUCAGCUCGUGUCGUGAGAUGUUGGGUUAAGUCCCCUAACGAGCGCAACCCCUGCCCUUAGUUGCCAGCACGUCAUGGUGGGAACUCUAAGGGGACCGCCGGCGUUAAGCCGGAGGAAGGCGGGGAUGACGUCAAGUCCUCAUGGCCCUUAUGCCCAGGGCUGCACACGUACUACAAUGGGAGGGACAAAGCGAUGCUAAGUCGCAAGACCACGCCAAUCGCAAAAACCCUUCCUCAGUUCGGAUUGUGGGCUGCAACCCGCCCACAUGAAGCUGGAAUCGCUAGUAAUCGCGGAUCAGCAUGCCGCGGUGAAUGGGUUCCUGAGCCUUGUACACACCGCCCGU
rnacentral:rRNA from 1 species